rnacentral:rRNA from 1 species
GCAAGUCGAACGAUAUAGUGGCAGACGGGUGAGUAACGCGUGGAAACGUGCCUUUCACUACGGAAUAGCUUUUGGAAACGAAAGGUAAUACCGUAUAAGCCCGCAGGGGGAAAGAUUUAUCGGUGAAAGAUGGGUCCGCGUAAGAUUAGCUAGUUGGUGAGGUAAGAGCUCACCAAGGCGACGAUCUAUAGCUGGUCUGAGAGGAUGAUC